GUCCAGACUCCUACGGGAGGCAGCAGUGAGGAAUAUUGGUCAAUGGCCGGAAGGCUGAACCAGCCAAGCCGCGUGAGGGAGGAAGGCGCAGAGCGUCGCAGACCUCUUUUGCCGGGGGACAAAAGGCCGGACUCGUCCGGUCCUGAGGGUACCCGGAGAAAAAGCAUCGGCUAACUCCGUGCCAGCAGCCGCGGUAAUACGGAGGAUGCGAGCGUUAUCCGGAUUUAUUGGGUUUAAAGGGUGCGCAGGCGGAAUGUCAAGUCAGCGGUAAAAUUUCGGGGCUCAACCCCGUCGUGCCGUUGAAACUGGCGUUCUUGAGUGAGCGAGAAGUAUGCGGAAUGCGUGGUGUAGCGGUGAAAUGCAUAGAUAUCACGCAGAACUCCGAUUGCGAAGGCAGCAUGCCGGCUCCACACUGACGCUGAGGCACGAAAGCGUGGGUAUCGAACAGGAUUAGAUACCCUCGUACG
rnacentral:rRNA from 1 species